AUGGAAAUCAUUUAGCAGGAAUCCAUUAAUGGGUCUUGAAAAGCUUGGGCAUUUGGAGUAAGGGAUUUCAUCAGAACCUCAUCCAAAUUUAUCAGUUUGUCUAUACUUAGCCAUCUGCUCUGCUCUGCUAAAUCUCUUCUCAAGUAAUGCAUUAAUGGCGAAGAUAUAGCGAACCAGUCGGCAAGUCACAGAAUGGCAAAUGAGGGAUCUCAGAUAUGGGUCUU
rnacentral:sRNA from 1 species